rnacentral:rRNA from 1 species
AUGAACGCUGGCGGCGUGCCUAAUACAUGCAAGUCGCGCGAACAGACGAGGAGCUUGCUCCUCUGACGUUAGCGGCGGACGGGUGAGUAACACGUGGAUAACCUACCUAUAAGACUGGGAUAACUUCGGGAAACCGGAGCUAAUACCGGAUAAUAUAUUGAACCGCAUGGUUCAAUAGUUAAAGACGGUUUUGCUGUCACUUAUAGAUGGAUCCGCGCCGCAUUAGCUAGUUGGUAAGGUAACGGCUUACCAAGGCGACGAUGCGUAGCCGACCUGAGAGGGUGAUCGGCCACACUGGAACUGAGACACGGUCCAGACUCCUACGGGAGGCAGCAGUAGGGAAUCUUCCGCAAUGGGCGAAAGCCUGACGGAGCAACGCCGCGUGAGUGAUGAAGGUCUUCGGAUCGUAAAACUCUGUUAUUAGGGAAGAACAAAUGUGUAAGUAACUAUGCACGUCUUGACGGUACCUAAUCAGAAAGCCACGGCUAACUACGUG